CUAUCUAAAGUUUCUUGUAAUUAUUAUCUUGAUCCAUUUGACUCGAAUGAUACACUGAUUGUUAUCGCUCCUUGGUGCCGGGUGGCGUUGCCCAGCUGGACAGAAGACUUAUUCCGGGCGAUCGUUUGCUCUUUGUGAACUCAAUCUGGAAAACGCUUCGCUGGAUCAGGCAGUGCCAGGCAUUGAAAGGCGCGCCCAAGGGAGUGGUCCGCAUUGGGGUGGCCAAACCGCUGCCCAUGGCGGAUAACUCGCUGAAGGCGUGCAGUAAUGCCAGCACCACCAGCGAGGAGACACUGGAUGCCCAGCAAUCACCGCCAGCACUGCCCACCGCAGCGCCUCCAACUGCGGUGAAAGCGCCGAGCCAAAUCCAAAUCCAACUGGCGGAAAUAGACGACAUAGGGAUUGGACUCCCUCCAGAUACUAUUAAUUAUUAUUAUACUUGUAUGUUAUGCAUAUGUAGUAGAAGCACCAAAUGUGUUGACUCAUGAUUUUUUAUGUAAGCAUAAAAUUUAAAGUGUACAAUAUUACAAUAUAUUAAAUAAUUACAAUUAUAUAAUUACAA